rnacentral:rRNA from 1 species
GACGAACGCUGGCGGCGUGCCUAAUACAUGCAAGUAGAACGCUGAAGAGAGGAGCUUCCUCUUCUUGGAUGAGUUGCGAACGGGUGAGUAACGCGUAGGUAACCUGCCUUGUAGCGGGGGAUAACUAUUGGAAACGAUAGCUAAUACCGCAUAACAAUGGAUGACACAUGUCAUUUAUUUGAAAGGGGCAAUUGCUCCACUACAAGAUGGACCUGCGUUGUAUUAGCUAGUAGGUGAGGUAAUGGCUCACCUAGGCGACGAUACAUAGCCGACCUGAGAGGGUGAUCGGCCACACUGGGACUGAGACACGGCCCAGACUCCUACGGGAGGCAGCAGUAGGGAAUCUUCGGCAAUGGGGGCAACCCUGACCGAGCAACGCCGCGUGAGUGAAGAAGGUUUUCGGAUCGUAAAGCUCUGUUGUAAGUCAAGAACAGGUGUGAGAGUGGAAAGUUCACACUGUGACGGUAGCUGACCAGAAAGGGACGGCUAACUACGUG